GAUGAACGCUAGCGGCAGGCUUAAUACAUGCAAGUCGAGGGACAGCACAGGUAGCAAUACUGGGUGGUAACCGGCAAACGGGUGCGGAACACGUACACAACCUUCCUUUAAGUGGGGGAUAGCCAAGAGAAAUUUGGUUUAAUACCCCGUCAUAAAGUUGAAUGGCAUCAUUUUCUUAUUAUAGCUACGGCGCUUAAUGAUGGGUGUUCGGCUGAUUAGAUAGUUGGCGGGGUAACGGGCAACCAAGUCUACGAUCAGUAGCUGAUGUGAGAGCAUGAUCAGCCACACGGGGACUGAGACACGGGCCCGACUCCUACGGGAGGCAGCAGUAAGGAAUAUUGGUCAAUGGACGAAAGUCUGAACCAGCCAUGCCGCGUGAAGGAUUAAGGUCCUCUGGAUUGUAAACUUCUUUUAUUUGGGACGAAAAAGGGCCUUUCUAGGUCAACUGACGGUACCAGAUGAAUAAGCACCGGCUAACUCCGUGCCUGCCGCCGCGGUAA
rnacentral:rRNA from 1 species